UCAGCUUACCAAGCCUUCUUCGCUGGUAGAACCGAGGCGCCGGCUGUGACUCCGAUUUGGAAAUCUAGGGCGCCAGCGUCCGCCAAAUUCUUCACGUGGCUUGCUGCAAGAGAUCGAUGUUGGACAAUAGAUAGACUCCAAAGAUGUCUGCUUCCACACCCGGCCGUGUGUCCCUUCUGCGAUCAAGAACCUAAAAACAUAAACCACUUAACUCUCGGGUGUGUGUUUGCAAGGCAAAUUUGGGCGGUUAUAAUGAACAAUUGGGACAAGCCAGAUUGGAUACCUAUCUCGGAUGCAAAACUGGUGGAUUGGUGGACAAAGCUCAAUCCAUCAAAGCAGUACAGACAGGAAAUAUGGACCGUGAUGAUUCUGGUGACUUGGACAUUGUGGAAGCAUAGAAAUGAUAUAGUGUUCAACGGGGCUUCACCCUCUCGAGACUAUGUACUCAAACAGAUUGACGUGAACGAACAAGACUGGAGGGCGGCGAAUCUACUACAAAUAACGAGAUCACUACCAAGUAGAGUAGACACAGUGGGUAGCUCUGAGUAG
rnacentral:rRNA from 1 species